UUUUUACAUUUCGUUUCAUUCCACGUUGACUUAAACAUUUUACUCUCUUUUAAUUGUGGAGAGAUGCAUUUUACAAUCCGUGCAGCCAUGCAAGAGGACUGUAAGGACAUCUUGCGGAUGAUAUUAGAACUGGCUGAGCAUGAGAAAAUUUCCGACCAGGUCAAAAUUACACAAAGAGAUCUGGAGCAAGAUGGAUUCUUAAAAAAACUAUUUUUUUCAUGGAAUUAUUGCUGAAUUACCAAAGCACCUUAAGUCCAAAGAUGAUGGGAUACCUCUUUUGGGAAUCUAAUGUGUUUGUGUGGCAGACAGUUUAUUAUAUCAUCGCAUAUAUUGUGUUUGGAAUAGAUUCCAUGUAAUCUAUAUUGGAGGAAACAGAUUGCUAGUAAAAAAGGGGUGGCGCUUCUACGAACAAAUAAUUAUUUAUUUUUACCUUUUGUAUGCACAUUUUUGAGGAAGAAACAGUGUUAUGGAUGUGUAAUUUCUCUGUUAUAGAAAUGACAAUUCUGAAUUUUGCACUUACUAUGGAACAUAGUAAAAAUGCUUUAAAAACUUUGUAUGGUUGUUUAAACCACCAAAUAUUUACUUUUAAGAUUUCAGUAUGGUUAAAAUCUUUGAGUUAAAACUUUACUUUUCAUGAUGAGGUUAACAUUUGCAUGAAAGCCCACCCUACACACACGUGUCGCAGUCAUCAAAAUUUUGUUGCAGUGUUCCUUAGAUGUUAUAUUCAUUACGUAAAAAAUGUUUUUAGAUUAAAAAGUUUGAUUAAUGCUAGAUUUUGCAAGAAGGUAGUUACAUUUGCAUAGCUAUUAUUAAUGUUAAAGGCGGGGUGCAUGAUUUUUGAAAAACACUUUGGAAAAGGGAGUCAGGCUGAGUACCAAAACACACUUGUAGCCAAUCAGCAGUAAGGGGCGUGUCUACUUAACAACAUCGUUGUCUGGGUUGCGUAUGUGUGGGGUGGGUCUAUCAAAAGAAGGUCAAG